AAGAUAAAAUUUAAUUGAAUAGCCACCUUCUUUUGAGUUAUAGAAAAAAAUGGUGGAUGAUGAUCAAUUGAUCACCCUCUUCCAGUCAACACAUUCUAAAAAACAGAAGAAAUAAGAAGUGUUACCCAGUAAUAUAUCUAAAUUCAUCCAAGUUUGUCAGAAAUAUCGCUCAUUCAUUUAAGCAAAUAAAGAGGAGAAACAUUCUGUUUCAUUUUUCAUCAGUAUUACACAUGAAAAUAUUUUGAAACACAUCUUGUUGUCUUUUUGUCUAAAUUUAUAUCUGUUGUUUACCUCUAUGUUAAUCUCCCUUACUCCAUUCUCUGAAGAGAAGAAGAUGAAGAAAGAAAAUACAUACAUAUGCUAAAAGAACACUUUUUCUCUUAAAUUCUGUAAUUAAAAAUAAAUUAAAAAUUGAGAGUUUUUGUUUUUGAAAAGCUGUUUUUCAUCUACACCCUCCAUUACACUAAAAAAAACUUUCAUCUAAAUCUAUUAACAGCUUUGAAGAUGAGUCAAAUAGUCCUCAGAAAUUAACCUUAAUUAAGUGCAUGCACUAAAAAUUUCAUUUAGGUGGGAUGGGAGGAGAAAGGAAGGGAUCUGUAUGUUUCAGUGAGGCAGGAGAACUGCACAAAUUAGGAAACUUGUGGAUACUGACUAUUGUUACGCAGCUUGCCAUAUUCUUUCAAUCACUAUGAGUUUGCUUUGGAUUAAACAGUUAGAAAAACAACCACAAAGAAGUAAAAAUUUCAAAAACAAUGUAGUGUGCAACUGAGAGUAUGUGACACUGCUCUUCCUUUACAACAAGAUCCAUACUGGGCACACAGUGCCAGCAAAUGACAACUUCCUGUACCUGUACAUAUUACCUUGCAAAUCUCUGUGCAACUGAAUACGUCACGGAGUCAAAGGCAGCUGAACAAUGUGAUUAGAGUUUGUAGAAAUGAAAAAGAAAUAUCUAAAAUAUGAAUGAAUUUUUGAUAUAAUGAAAAAAGGAAGAUAAUGAGUCAAUACUGUAUAUUUAUAUCCGGCACAACCUUCAUUCCCUACUGCUCAGAGUGACUCAUUCCUAGAACACAGGUCAGAGCUCCAAUCACCAAAAAAAGGUUAAACAAUUUGACUUAAUUACUGUUCUAAGCUCUGAUGGAUAAUUGGUAGCUGUUUACAUCUGACUUUAAGAAAGACACAUAGAAAAAUGAACAAUGCAAAAUAUAAUGAGUAUUAUUUAUAAUACCAUUAAAGAAGCAUUAGACAAUAACUCUUCCCCAUUCUUGGUGAACACUGCCCUGAUUCUUGGUGAAAAAAUACCCUGUCUUGCAGUUGUGCAGUUGUGUUUUUAAAUAAAAGGCUCCAG
ensembl:lncRNA